GACGAACGCUGGCGGCGUGCUUAACACAUGCAAGUCGAACGGUAAGGCCCUUCGGGUACGACGAGUGGCGAACGGGUGAGUAACACGUGGGUGAUCUGCCCUGCACUUCGGGAUAAGCCUGGGAAACUGGGUCUAAUACCGGAUAGGACCAUGGACUUCACGGUUUGUGGUGGAAAGCUUUUGCGGUGUGGGAUGGGCCCGCGGCCUAUCAGCUUGUUGGUGGGGUAAUGGCCCUACCAAGGCGACGACGGGUAGCCGGCCUGAGAGGGUGUCCGGCCACACUGGGACUGAGAUACGGCCCAGACUCCUACGGGAGGCAGCAGUGGGGAAUAUUGCACAAUGGGCGCAAGCCUGAUGCAGCGACGCCGCGUGAGGGAUGACGGCCUCGGUGUAACUCUUCAAUAGGACGAAGCGCAAGUGACGGUACCUAUAGAAGAAGCACCGGCCAACUACGUGCCAGCAGCCGCG
rnacentral:rRNA from 1 species